AUGUUUUCUGUAGCUCUGCUGCUGCUGUUGGCAGCUGGAUGUGUGAAGUGUGAACAGUUGACACAGCCAGCCUCUGUGACUGUGCAGCCAGGUCAACAUCUGACCAUCACCUGUCAGGUCUCUUAUUCUGUCAGCAGCUACAGCACAGCUUGGAUCAGACAGUCUGCAGGGAAAGGACUGGAGUGGAUUGGAAGGAAAUAUACUGGAGGUUCAGACUACAAAGAUUCACUGAAGAACAAAUUCAGUAUUGAUUUAGACUCAUCCAGCAAAACAGUGACUCUGAAUGGACAGAAUGUGCAGCCUGAAGACUCUGCUGUGUAUUUCUGUGCCAGACAGACACAGUGAGAGACAACAAGAGGAAACUCAUGCAAAAACUAGUUCCUCUAUUUACACCACUGGGAACA